rnacentral:rRNA from 1 species
CAGUCGCCACGGGAAUACGUAGGUGGCAAGCGUUGUCCGGAAUUAUUGGGCGUAAAGGGCUCGCAGGCGGUUUCUUAAGUCUGAUGUGAAAGCCCCCGGCUCAACCGGGGAGGGUCAUUGGAAACUGGGAAACUUGAGUGCAGAAGAGGAGAGUGGAAUUCCACGUGUAGCGGUGAAAUGCGUAGAGAUGUGGAGGAACACCAGUGGCGAAGGCGACUCUCUGGUCUGUAACUGACGCUGAGGAGCGAAAGCGUGGGGAGCGAACAGGAUUAGAUACCCCAGUAGUCCCUGUCUCUUAUAA